GAAGCUCAUAUUGAAGCGCAGGCUACGGAGAAGACGUGAAUUUACAACACUGGUUCACCCACUGAGGGACCUGGACGAGCAAGUGCACUUUCGAUACUUUCAAAGCAACUGCCGCAAAUUACGUUCUGAGCGGACCAAUCACAGCACUUGCGAUCCACGUCAACUCGACUCGCAGUUAGAUUCUUUCGGAGCUGCACGUCAGGCUACGGCGGAGGGGUCUACGUAGUUACGUAGUUACUUAAUAUGUAUAUUUUCCUUUUUUCUUUCAGAUUGUUCUUUAAUGUACUGUGGUGCUCUGGUGGUAAGUAAUAAGUUGAUGUACUUGACCGAAAAUGUAGUUGUGUUUGUGAUUUUUAAAGCUGAAAUAGGGUAUUUUCAGGUUGUCAGCUUGUAUGGGGUUGUAGAUCAUAAUGUUGAUUUCAGUUUGCUGUCUUUGCAGAUACCAUCAUGUUGAUCAAAACAUUCCUGUCAUCCAGCACCAACCAAGAUCUUUGCCACUGUGAUAAGAUGUGAGCUUUACAUGUUUUAGGUUUACUUUUGAUGCCAAUAUUUCAUGUUUACUUGGAAUAAAUAUGUAUUACAGUAUGGAUACAAUUGUCUGUGUGUUUUUCCCCCUGCAUAGAUAUGCAACACUGUGUGCAGUGU
ensembl:lncRNA